GGAAAAUGAGCUAACAGAGAUCCCACUGAUGGCUACUAACCAACUCUGCAAGAGGCUGUGGGUUUCACCCUACACAAGAAACUACCAAAUUGACUUCCGGCGUGGGGCUUAAGCCAGGUGGCCGUCAAAGUCACAUUCCACCUCGUGCCCUCUCUUCUCAUGGACCAGGAAAAUGUCAGAGGAAGCACCUCAGACUACAGAGGGGACACAAGCUGCUUGGGUCAAUCCAAUAGGCUGCUGCUGUUCAAGGACAUUUAAUCUCCAGAGCAGCAUACACACUCUCAGGAUCUCUGGCUGUGCAUGCCGGCUCCCAGAUCACUUGGUUUUGUUUGCUUUUAAUUACUCACCUGCUAAGAUCACCAGUUUGCUUGUUUUUGUUUCUCUUUAUGGGGAUUAAAAAUGGAUUUUCCUGGUUUUGUAUGUGUUUUAAAAUAAUAACAAGAAGAAUUAUUUCAAGUAGUUAUGAGAAUAGAAUUACAUAAAUGCAAUUAAAAGGAGCU
rnacentral:lncRNA from 1 species